GACGAACCGUGCGAACGUUGUUCGGAUUCACUGGGCUUAAAGGGCGCGUAGGCGGACGGUCAAGUCAGGGGUGAAAUCUUUCAGCUCAACUGGAAAAGUGCCUCUGAUACUGAUCGUCUCGAGGGAGGUAGGGGCAUGUGGAACUUCCGGUGGAGCGGUGAAAUGCGUAGAUAUCGUUUGGAACGCCAACGGAGAAAUCAGCUCGCUGGGGAUGUCCUGACGCUGAGACGCGAAAGCCAGGGGAGCAAACGGG
rnacentral:rRNA from 1 species